UGGCGGCAUGCCUUACACAUGCAAGUCGAACGGCAGCACGGGUGCUUGCACCUGGUGGCGAGUGGCGAACGGGUGAGUAAUAUAUCGGAACGUACCUUAUCGUGGGGGAUAACGCAGCGAAAGCUGCGCUAAUACCGCAUACGCCCUGAGGGGGAAAGCGGGGGACCGUAAGGCCUCGCGCGAUUAGAGCGGCCGAUAUCUGAUUAGCUUGUUGGUGGGGUAAAAGCCCACCAAGGCGACGAUCAGUAGCUGGUCUGAGAGGACGAUCAGCCACACUGGGACUGAGACACGGCCCAGACUCCUACGGGAGGCAGCAGUGGGGAAUUUUGGACAAUGGGGGCAACCCUGAUCCAGCAAUGCCGCGUGAGUGAAGAAGGCCUUCGGGUUGUAAAGCUCUUUUGUCAGGGAAGAAACAGCAGCUCUAACACAGUCUGCGAAUGACGGUACCUGAAGAAUAAGCACCGGCUAACUACGUGCCAGCAGCCGCGGUAAUA
rnacentral:rRNA from 1 species